UCUCCCGUGAGGGAGCAGUCUCGCCUGACAAUAUAACAGACAACGAGGGUUGCGUUCGUUACCCCACUGAAGGGAACAGCUCAAGCCACGAACUGACGACAACCAUGCAUCACCUGCCAAGCACCCUCGAAGGCUUCCCCCGUUUCUGGGGGCGUGCAGCUUGGUUUCUAGCCCUGGUAAGGUUCUUCGCUUAGCUACGAAUUAAGCCACAUGAUCCACCGCUUGUGCGAGUCCCCGUCUAUUCCUUUGAGUUUUAAUCUUGCGAUCGUACUACCCAGGCGGCUCGCUUACCGCGUUAGCUUAGUCCCACAGAGGGUCGAUACUCCGUAGAACGAGCGAGCAGCGUUUAGGGCCAGGACUAC
rnacentral:misc_RNA from 1 species